rnacentral:rRNA from 1 species
UAAGGCUCGAAAGUGUGGGUAGCCAAAACCGGAUUAGAUACCCCGUGUUGUCCCAUACCUGUAAACGAUGAAUGCUAGGUGUUUGGUUUGACUGUUUAAAUGUCUUCGGGAUUUUUUAAAUGGAAGAAAUUAAGUGCCGCAGUUAACCGCGAUAAAGCAUUCCCGCCUGGGAAGUACGGCCGCAAGGCUAAAACUCCAAAUGAAUUGGCGGGGACCCGCACAAGCGGAGGAGCGCGUGGUUUAAUUCGAUGGUAAUCGAAGAACCUUACCAGGGUUUGACAUGUAUCUGCAUGCCCCCAGAGACGGGGGAGGCCUUCGAGGGUGAUACACAGGUGCUGCAUGGCCGUCGUCAGCUCGUGUCGUGAGAUGUAGGGUUAAGUCCCGAAACGAGCGCAACCCCUAUCCCUAUGUUACAAGUGUCUUAGGAAACUGCCUCGGUAAAACGGGGAGGAAGGAGGGGAUGAUGUCUGGUCCGCAUAGCCCUUAUGUCCUGGGCGACACACGCGCUA